UGAGUGGUUCCCUCUCUUCAGAUCUCUGGGAAUGUCCGGUCUCCCGCAGGUGCCACCGCAGGCCCCAAGAUGCCUGGGACCCCUCUCACCAUGCACACCAACACACCAACCCCGGGAAUUCUUCUCUACUUUACUUUUCCUGGUCUCCGUUAACCUGCAGCCUAAGAGGGGCCUCCCUGGGACCACAAGGUGGCCACCGACCACCUAGAAGAGAACCAGGAGGAGAUGUGUGAAGACAAAGACCCAUCUCCUUAAAAACCCCCGGCCUCAACCAGACUGCGCGCUCAGCCCUCUGUCUCCCUGAGCCGCCCGCCUGCCUGCCCAGGUGUAAUCUCUCCACUCAACCAUGUAACCUCGCUCCUCCCCCCAGUCCAAGCGACUGGGCGCUCUCUCUCAGGUCCUGUCUGGAGAGGUGCACAUCCGUUCUUACGGAUGUCCCUGCCCUAAUAAACUUUGCUACUUUACUUUUCCACUA